GCGGCGAACGGGUGAGUAACACGUGGGUGACCUGCCCUCCACUCCGGGAUAAGCCUGGGAAACCGGGUCUAAUACCGGAUAGGACCUCUGGGUGCAUGCCUGGUGGUGGAAAGUUUUUUCGGUGGGGGAUGGGCCCGCGGUCUAUCAGCUUGUUGGUGGGGUGAUGGCCUACCAAGGCGACGACGGAUAGCCGGCCUGAGAGGGUGAUCGGCCACACUGGGACUGAGACACGGCCCAGACUCCUACGGGAGGCAGCAGUGGGGAAUCUUGCGCAAUGGGCGGAAGCCUGACGCAGCAACGCCGCGUGAGGGAUGACGGCCUUCGGGUUGUAAACCUCUUUCGCGAUCGACGAAGGUCCGGUUUUUGCUGGGCUGACGGUAGGUCGAGAAGAAGCACCGGCCAACUACGUGCCAGCAGCCGCGGUAAUACGUAGGGUGCGAGCGUUGUCCGGAAUUAUUGGGCGUAAAGAGCUCGUAGGCGGUGUGUCGCGUCGGCCGUGAAAACCUGGGGCUCAACUCUGGGCGUGCGGUCGAUACGGGCAUCACUUGAGUUCGGCAGGGGAGACUGGAAUUCCUGGUGUAGCGGUGAAAUGCGCAGAUAUCAGGAGGAACACCGGUGGCGAAGGCGGGUCUCUGGGCCGA
rnacentral:rRNA from 1 species